CGGGACGGGUGAGUAACGCGUGGGUAACCUGCCUCAUACAGGGGGAUAACAGUUAGAAAUGGCUGCUAAUACCGCAUAAGACCACAGUACUGCAUGGUACAGUGGUAAAAACUCCGGUGGUAUGAGAUGGACCCGCGUCUGAUUAGGUAGUUGGUGAGGUAACGGCCCACCAAGCCGACGAUCAGUAGCCGACCUGAGAGGGUGACCGGCCACAUUGGGACUGAGACACGGCCCAG
rnacentral:rRNA from 1 species